rnacentral:rRNA from 1 species
ACAUGCAAGUCGAACGGUAAGGGCCCUUCGGGGUACACGAGUGGCGAACGGGUGAGUAACACGUGGGUGAUCUGCCCUGCACUUUGGGAUAAGCUGGGAAACUGGGUCUAAUACCGAAUAGGACCAUGGACUUCACGGUUUGUGGUGGAAAGCUUUUGCGGUGUGGGAUGGGCCCGCGGCCUAUCAGCUUGUUGGUGGGGUAAUGGCCUACCAAGGCGACGACGGGUAGCCGGCCUGAGAGGGUGACCGGCCACACUGGGACUGAGAUACGGCCCAGACUCCUACGGGAGGCAGCAGUGGGGAAUAUUGCACAAUGGGCGCAAGCCUGAUGCAGCGACGCCGCGUGAGGGAUGACGGCCUUCGGGUUGUAAACCUCUUUCAGCACAGACGAAGCGCAAGUGACGGUAUGUGCAGAAGAAGGACCGGCCAACUACGUG